rnacentral:rRNA from 1 species
AUUGAACGCUGGCGGCAGGCCUAACACAUGCAAGUCGAGCGGAUGAAGGGAGCUUGCUCCUGGAUUCAGCGGCGGACGGGUGAGUAAUGCCUAGGAAUCUGCCUGGUAGUGGGGGAUAACGUCCUGAAACGGGCGCUAAUACCGCAUACGUCCUGAGGGAGAAAGUGGGGGAUCUUCGGACCUCACGCUAUCAGAUGAGCCUAGGUCGGAUUAGCUAGUUGGUGGGGUAAAGGCCUACCAAGGCGACGAUCCGUAACUGGUCUGAGAGGAUGAUCAGUCACACUGGAACUGAGACACGGUCCAGACUCCUACGGGAGGCAGAAGUGGGGAAUAUUGGACAAUGGGCGAAAGCCUGAUCCAGCCAUGCCGGGUGUGUGAAGAAGGUCUUCGGAUUGUAAAGCAGUUAAGUUGGGAGGAAGGGCAGUAAGUUAAUACCUUGCUGUUUUGACGUUACCAACAGAAUAAGCACCGGCUAGCUUCGUG